rnacentral:rRNA from 1 species
UACGUAGGGGGCAAGCGUUGUUCGGAAUUACUGGGCGUAAAGGGUGCGUAGGCGGCGCGGUAAGUCGGGUGUGAAAUCUCGGGGCUUAACUCCGAAACUGCAUUCGAUACUGCCGUGCUUGAGGACUGGAGAGGAGACUGGAAUUUACGGUGUAGCGGUGAAAUGCGUAGAUAUCGUAAGGAAGACCAGUGGCGAAGGCGGGUCUCUGGACAGUUCCUGACGCUGAGGCACGAAGGUCAGGGGAGCAAACGGG